rnacentral:rRNA from 1 species
GUUGUAUGGUUAAGUGACUAAGCGUACACGGUGGAUGCCUUGGCAGUCAGAGGCGAUGAAGGACGUAUUAACUUGCGAUAAGCCCAGAGAAGGUAGUAAAAACCGGUGACUCUGGGAUUUCCGAAUGGGGAAACCCACUUACAUAAGUAAGUAUCGUGUUGUGAAUACAUAGCAGCACGAGGCGAACCGGGGGAACUGAAACAUCUAAGUACCCCGAGGAAGAGAAAUCAACCGAGAUUCCGGUAGUAGCGGCGAGCGAAACCGGAUUAGCCCUUAAGCUAGUUUUGCGUUAGGUGAAAGUUCUGGAAAGUUCUGCGAUACAGGGUGAUAGCCCCGUAACCGACAACGCAUUAUCAGUGAAAACGAGUAGGACGGGACACGUGAUAUCCUGUUUGAAUAUGGGGGGACCAUCCUCCAAGGCUAAAUACUCCUGACUGACCGAUAGUGAACCAGUACCGUGAGGGAAAGGCGAAAAGAACCCCUGUGAGGGGAGUGAAAUAGAACCUGAAACCGUGUACGUACAAGCAGUAGGAGCCCACUUGUUGGGUGACUGCGUACCUUUUGUAUAAUGGGUCAGCGACUUAAUUUUAGUAGCAAGGUUAACCGUUUAGGGGAGCCGUAGGGAAACCGAGUCUUAACUGGGCGAAUGAGUUGCUAGGAUUAGACCCGAAACCGAGUGAUCUAGCCAUGGGCAGGUUGAAGGUGAGGUAACACUUACUGGAGGACCGAACCGACUAAUGUUGAAAAAUUAGCGGAUGACUUGUGGCUAGGGGUGAAAGGCCAAUCAAACUCGGAGAUAGCUGGUUCUCCCCGAAAGCUAUUUAGGUAGCGCCUCGGACGAAUACUACUGGGGGUAGAGCACUGUUAAGGCUAGGGGGUCAUCCCGACUUACCAACCCUUUGCAAACUCCGAAUACCAGUAAGUACUAUCCGGGAGACACACGGCGGGUGCUAACGUCCGUCGUGAAGAGGGAAACAACCCAGACCGCCAGCUAAGGUCCCAAAGUUAUAGCUAAGUGGGAAACGAUGUGGGAAGGCUCAGACAGCCAGGAUGUUGGCUUAGAAGCAGCCAUCAUUUAAAGAAAGCGUAAUAGCUCACUGGUCGAGUCGGCCUGCGCGGAAGAUUUAACGGGGCUAAGCUAUACACCGAAGCUGCGGCAAUG